rnacentral:snRNA from 1 species
GUGCUCGCUUGGGUGGCACAUACACUAAAACUGGAAUGAUACCAAGAAGAGCAGCACGGCCGGCCCCUGUGCAAAAGUGUGAAGAAUUUCAUAUUUUU